UUUUUGUAAUUUGAGCUUGCUCAACGCGAUAGCCCCAUUGCCUCAACACUCAGCAGUUAGGCGGGAAUAAGAUAAUCAAACAAACAGAGACAGAGUAUAAAGGACUAAAGGAGAGAGAUUUCAGUUUUAAUUCGUAAACUCAGAUUCAAGGAAGCUGCAGUUGAUUCUCUCUACAGAAACUAAAGGAGAUUCAGAGGCCAAAAGAAAUCAACGCAGCACUGUGACAUGUAGAUCAAGUCGAGAAGGCCAAGAGGAGGGUGUUUCGCUUGUGCAUUUUCAACAUCCAUUGCUUCUAGAAGUGAAAUAAUGGAAGGCUCCAUCGAAGCCCCAACCACAAGGGAUUCAAAUACAACUAGUUCUAACUUGGUUACUCAAGAAACAAGUCAAGAACAAGAGGAGGUCCAGGGGGGUGAUCUUAACUCAUUUGGAAGGAAGAAAAGGGCAAAGACAUUGGCGAUGUGAAAUGAUUUCAAAGAUGUGUUACAACUGCCCGACGGAAAAGUAAAGACACAAUGCAUUCAUUGUAAGGUAAUCUAUGUGCUACCAAAAACGAGGCCCACUACUCAACUUAAAUGACAUUAAAGGAAUGUCUCAAGAAAAGACUUAACGAAAGGCAAGUUAGUAGUGGACAACAAUUUUUCCAGCCAAGUUCAAGUAGUGGUGACUCACAACCCACUGUUCUUUGGGAUGGAAAAUUUGAUAUGGCGAGGAUGAGGGAAAUAGCUGCGCAGUGGGUCAUGAUGCAUGAGCAUCUUUUUACCAUUGUGAAGGAAGAAGAUUUUAAUCUAAUGCAAAAAACUGAGAUGCCUGAGGGGGAAAAAAUAAUGCGCACAAUAAAUAAAAAAGAUUGUGUGUCUGUGUUUGAGAUUGAGAAGAAGAAGUUAAUGAAUGUUUUGAAGAAUGUCAACAAGAUAAGCUUGACGACAGAUUUAUGGAAGUCAAGUAACCAGAAUAUAGAAUAUAUGGUUCUAACUGGACAUUUUAUUGAUGGUAAUUGGAGGUUGCAGAAAAGGGUAUUAAGCUUUGUACAUAUUAAUCCUCUUCACACGGGUAUUCAAAUUGAUGAUUUGGUGUACAAAUGUUUAAAGGAAUGAGGUAUUGAAAACAAGGUGUUCACUAUCUCUGUUGAUAACGCUUCCAGUAAUGAUGUAGCAAUCAAAACAUUAAGAGAGAAUUUUUCAGUAACCAGGCGGUUGGUUUGUGGAGGGAAGCUAUUCCAUGUGCGGUGUUGUGCACAUAUCUUGAAUCUUUUGGUUCAAGAUGGCCUUUCUAAAAUUAAGGAUAUUGUUAAAAAAAAUCCAUGAUAGUGUGUGGUACAUCAACCAAUCGGAGAGCAGGCUCCAAAUUUUCUCACAGAUUGUGCAACAGCUAUAGUUGCCUAGUUGAAAGUUGAUUUUAGAUUGUAAAACAAGAUGGAAUUCGACGUAUGAGAUGAUGGUAAUUGCACUACAAUUUAAAAAUGUGUUUCUGAGAUUCAAAUGUAGAGACUAUGGGUUUGUUUAUUCUCCUAACGACGAGGAUUGGGAGAAAGUUUAGACGGUAUGUGAUAUUUUGGGAGUUUUUAGUACGGUGACCAAUUUAAUCUCUGGGAGUGAUUACCCUACUUCUAAUAUAUUUUUGAAUGAGGUUUUCUAGAUAAAAAAAAUGCUUGAUAAAAAGGCAACAGAUGAAAAUGAAUUCAUUCGAGUUAUGGUGAAAAAGAUGAAAGAGAAGUUUGAUAAAUAUUGAGGUGAAUGUAAUUUGUUGAUGUCGAUUGCCGUUGUCUUGGAUCCAAGAUAUAAAAUGAAGGUGAUUGAAAUUUCUUUCCCUAGACUGUAUCCCGAGUCUGAAGCACGAGCAAAUAUUGCCAAAGUAUGGGAUGCAUUGUAUGAGUUGUACAAGGAAUAUGUGGAGGAAUUCCAUUCUUCCAACAAUGAAGAAAAUGUUGGAAUGAACAUGUCUACUCAGAUGAAUGUAGGAACCGGAGCUCCUACUUAUGGAGAAUUUGAUUUAGAACAUUAUCUUAUUGAGGAUAAAGAUAUUCAUUCAGAAAAGUCAGAGUUAGAUUGUUAUUUGGAGGAGUCACAUUAUGUUUGUCAACCAGGCCCAAACACAUUUGAUGCACUAGUGUGGUGGAAGGGGAACAUCAUGAAGCAUAAGAUUUUAUCGAGGAUGGCUCGUGAUAUACUACCCAUUCCUAUAACCAUGGUGGCUUCGGAGGUGACUUUUAGUGCUGGUGGCAGAGUUAUUGACCUUUAUCAAUCAUCUUUGUCUCCGACAACUGUAGAAGUGCUACUUUGUGGUAGAGAUUGGUGUCGCAAUCUCCAUGGAGUAAAGAAAAAGAGCAAAACAGAGGAGAAAUUGGAGAUUGAUCUUUCCAUCGAUUGAAUCAAGUUCACACUAUAUACCAUAUAGUGGCAUGUUCAUUCCUUGGAAUCCUUUUGGUUGUGCUGUAAUGUCUAUGCAAAAUGCAAAUUCCUUUUGUUUGUGUCAUGUUUGAUAUGAAACCAAAUUUAUUUUGAACGAUUUAUUGUUAUGUUAAAUUUAUUUUGAAGUUUUAUUAUUUA